GCCCUGGUAACUCAGCCUGGAUAGAGUAUCACCCUCCUAAGGUGGAAGUCGAAAGUUCGAAUCUUUCCCAGGGCGCCA
rnacentral:tRNA from 1 species